rnacentral:misc_RNA from 1 species
GCGGAGGGAUCAUUACACAAUAUGAAAGCGGGCUGGACUCCCCCCAGCAGUGCGUUGCUUUGCGGCGUGCGCUGUUGGGGCCAGCCUUGAUGAAUUAUUCACCCGUGUCUUUUGCGUACUUCUUGUUUCCUUGGCGAGUUCGCCCACCACAAGGACAAACCAUAAACCUUUUGUAAUUGCAAUCAGCGUCAGUAACAAUAAUAAUAAUUACAACUUUCAACAACGGAUCUCUUGGUUCUGGCA